CCUGUGACAUACCUUAUGUUGCCUCGGCGGAUCAGCCCGCGCCCCGUAAAAAGGGACGGCCCGCCGCAGGAACCCUAAACUCUGUUUUUAGUGGAACUUCUGAGUAUAAAAAACAAAUAAAUCAAAACUUUCAACAACGGAUCUCUUGGUUCUGGCAUCGAUGAAGAACGCAGCAAAAUGCGAUAAGUAAUGUGAAUUGCAGAAUUCAGUGAAUCAUCGAAUCUUUGAACGCACAUUGCGCCCGCCAGUAUUCUGGCGGGCAUGCCUGUUCGAGCGUCAUUUCAACCCUCAAGCCCAGCUUGGUGUUGGGAGCUGCAGUCCUGCUGCACUCCCCAAAUACAUUGGCGGUCACGUCGAGCUUCCAUAGCGUAGUAAUUUACAUAUCGUUACUGGUAAUCGUCGCGGCCACGCCGUUAAACCCCAACUUCUGAAUGUUGACCUCGGAUCAGGUAGGAAUACCCGCUGAACUUAAGCAUAUCAAUAAGCGGGGGAAAA
rnacentral:rRNA from 1 species